GACGAACGCUGGCGGCGUGCUUAACACAUGCAAGUCGAACGGAAAGGCCCUGCUUUUGUUGGUUUCUCGAGUGGCGAACGGGUGAGUAACACGUGAGUAACCUGCCCUUGACUUUGGGAUAACUUCAGGAAACUGGGGCUAAUACCGGAUAUGAGCUCCUGCUGCAUGGUGGGGGUUGGAAAGUUUCGGCGGUUGUGGAUGGACUCGCGGCUUAUCAGCUUGUUGGUGGGGUAGUGGCUUACCAAGGCUUUGACGGGUAGCCGGCCUGAGAGGGUGAACGGCGACAUUGGGACUGAGAUACGGCGCAGACUCCUACGGGAGGCAGCAGUGGAGAAUAUUGCACAAUGGGCGGAAGCGUGAUGCAGCAACGCCGCGUGCGGGAUGAGGGCCUUCGGGUUGUAAACCGCUUUCGACUGUGACGAAGCGUGAGUGACGGUAAUGGGUAAAGAAGCAACGGCUAACUACGUG
rnacentral:rRNA from 1 species